rnacentral:rRNA from 1 species
CGAGAACGUUCUGGCUUUGCCAGGACAAGUACAGUGGCGGACGGGUGCGUAUCGCGUAGAUAACCUGCCCUUAGGCGCGGGACAAUCACGGGAAACCGUGGCUAAUACCGCACGUCGUCUGGGCCCCGCAUGGGGACCAGAUGAAAGCUUGGGGUUACCCAGGCGCCUUGGGAUGGGUCUGCGUUGGAUUAGCUUGUUGGUGAGGCAACGGCUCACCAAGGCGACGAUCCAUAGCUGGUCUGAGAGGACGAUCAGCCACACUGGGACUGAGACACGGCCCAGACUCCUACGGGAGGCAGCAGUGGGGAAUCUUGCACAAUGGGGUCACCCCUGACGCAGCCAUGCCGCGUGGAGGAAGACACCCCUAUGGGGCGUAAACUCCUUUUCUGAAUGAAGAAACCCCUGUAGGUUCAGGGCGCGACGGUAGUUCAGGAAUAAGCACCGGCUAACUCCGUGCCAGCAGCCGCGGUAAUACGGAGGGUGCAAGCGUUGUCCGGAAUCACUGGGUGUAAAGGGUGUGCAGGCGGGGCAACAAGUCGGAUGUGAAACCCCAUGGCUCAACCAUGGAGGUGCAUUCGAAACUGUUGCUCUUGAGUCCCGGAGAGGUUGCCGGAAUUCGUGGUGUAGCGGUGAAAUGCGUAGAUAUCACGAGGAACACCAGAGGCGAAAGCGGGCAACUGGACGGGUACUGACGCUCAGACACGAAAGCGCGGGGAGC